AUUGAACGCUGGCGGCAUGCUUUACACAUGCAAGUCGGACGAGUGGCGAACGGGUGAGUAACAUAUCGGAACGUACCGAGUAAUGGGGGAUAACUAAUCGAAAGAUUAGCUAAUACCGCAUAAUAUUCGAGGGGCCGAUAUCGGAUUAGCUGGUUGGUGGGGUAAUGGCCUACCAAGGCGACGAUCCGUAGCUGGUCGGCGAGGAUGACCAGCCACACUGGGAAUGAGACACGGCCCAGACUCCUACGGGAGGCAGCAGUGGGGAAUAUUGGACAAUGGGCGCAAGCCUGAUGCAGCCAUGCCGCGUGUCUGAAGAAGGCCUUCGGGUUGUAAAGGACUUUUGUCAGGGAAGCGGUACCUGAAGAAUAAGCACCGGCUAACUACGUGCCAGCCGCCGCGGUAAUUC
rnacentral:rRNA from 1 species